GGCCGAAUAGCUCAGUUGGUUAGAGCGUCGAGCUAAUAUGAGCUUAUUACUCGAAGGUCUUGGGUUCGACCCCCACUUUGGCCA